rnacentral:rRNA from 1 species
AUUGAACGCUAGCGGGAUGCUUUACACAUGCAAGUCGAACGGCAGCGCGGACUUCGGUCUGGCGGCGAGUGGCGAACGGGUGAGUAAUGUAUCGGAACGUGCCCAGUAGCGGGGGAUAACUACGCGAAAGCGUAGCUAAUACCGCAUACGCCCUACGGGGGAAAGCAGGGGAUCGUAAGACCUUGCACUAUUGGAGCGGCCGAUAUCGGAUUAGCUAGUUGGUGAGGUAACGGCUCACCAAGGCGACGAUCCGUAGCUGGAUUGAGAGGACGACCAGCCACACUGGGACUGAGACACGGCCCAGACUCCUACGGGAGGCAGCAGUGGGGAAUGUUGGACAAUGGGGGCAACCCUGAUCCAGCCAUCCCGCGUGUGCGAUGAAGGCCUUCGGGUUGUAAAGCACUUUUGGCAGGAAAGAAACGUCGCGGGCUAAUACCCCGUGGAACUGACGGUACCUGCAGAAUAAGCACCGGCUAACUACGUG